UUUUCUCCGAGAGGUGACAGGCAGUAAUUGACAGGCGCAGAAGAGAGCCGUGUCACAGUUUGAGGAAAAUCUCCAUUCAAGCACGCUACAGAAAUGUACAUCUCCCGAAUAUUGUUUGCAGACAGGCAGCCUGACAGAUGAAAAUGAAGUGCGCGCGAUGUGCUCCCGCAACAGAGGCAGUGCUCAACAAAAGAACAGGAGAUAAAAAGAAAGGAGUAAUCUGAGAAUGAGUUUUCAGCCAUUGUGUUAUAUUAAUCAUUUCUGGCCCCCGUUUCCCAGAACUGAAACCCAGGUGUGUCGGCGAGGCGCAGGAAACCGGCGGCCGCGCUGAGGGAUGCUGGGAAACGACAGGGUGCUGACGAGGGCCGGCGGGGAGCCAUCAGAGCCGGGCCCCAGAGACACCCCCCACGCUGGGGCCUGCCGCUUAGGGGGCCCCCCAAUCUCUCCAGACACCAGAAUCAUUUCAAUGCCCCGCCUACAGGGCUGAGUGCGGUAAAGUGCUGAUGUUAAGGGCUCGACAGCUCUCUCUUUUUCACUGACGGCUUAAGAUUCACACGAACACACCGGCUUGUUUCUGGUCUGGUAACCACACACAGCAGGCUACACACUCAGAAGUGACAGUGGAGGUACAUUUUUGCUCUUCGAGCACCAAAUUUCACAAAUGUGGUCCCCUGAAACUGUAGUAAUGUUCUCUUUGGGUACAAAUGUCUUUGAAGCAAAAAAAUUAAUUAAAUAUUGCUGGCUAGGGCUACAUUUGUGUACCUAAAGGGUACUGCCCCAGCGACAAGCAUUUGUACCUUUUUAGGCUCUUUUCCUAGGAAUUUCAGUCCGCUUGCCAGAAUUUGCCUUUCAGGCCAAUAUCAAACAAAUGUCAAGACAUACAGUAAGCAAGCAAAUUACCCAUACAUCAUUAACGAGCUUGAGAACUAGGCUGGUACAGUUCUUCACAUGAUUAAAUGGCCUCAGUUCUUUGUGAUGGACUCUCCCUUUAAAUCAAUGGAUUUUUGUUAGGAGCCAAUCGGCACCAAAAAUCUGGGCGUAUAUUCAAAGGAAAGACAUAUUUUGUUGGAUCACAUCCUGCCUGUUCUGCAUUCACUGAUUUGUUAAUCCUAAAGGUAUUUACAUGAAAGGAUACUGCUUGCCAGGAGAGUGGCAUGCAUGCCAACAGUGAGGAGUGUAUUGACAGUGGAAAUGUCUGCAACACUAAAACAUUCGCUAUAUAGCAGCUCUGGGGUGUUCACACUUACUGGCACAUUAAGGGCCGAAUAAAAUGGGUCCUAACUAUUAUUGUUAAUAUUGCGGUAGGAGAUAUCCAUAAAAAGGUCUGAAGCAAGACAAUUCAUGUGUGGCCAAUUAACCACGAAGCCAGGUACAAGCAGUUAGGCAACCACGAGAAAAAGAAAACUAGAAAAAAAUGUACAGAUGAGGAAAUAAAUAGAGAGUGUGGUCAAUGCUGUACAUCACAACAGCGUAUUACAGCAUAGGAAUGUGAGCAAUGCAGAGGAGAGAAAUUUGGUGUGGCAUUAUAAACAAAAUUAAUUUAUUUGGCAAAGCAAAAGAAAGAGCAGAAAGAUGGUGUGAUGUUAGGCAGAAUAUAAAGAAAAUACACAAGUGCUGGCCCAACCAAGAACAGAAUAUUAACCCUGACAGAACAGCGAGAACAAUCCCAGCAAAAUGAGUAAGUUGUGGGAGGGGAAGGAAUAAAUGGAAGAACAAGCAAAAUUGUACUCAAGAUUUACAGCCAUUUUAUACCCUACUGAAGGCACACACAACAAGACAUUCAAGAACCGUAUUUAUAGUCUACUGAGGACAAGUAGUUCUGCAUGCUUUCAAUAAAACAAACAUAAUUUUCUUAUUAUAUCCAAAAAUGAUUGGGAGGGGGUUCGGAGAAAAUCAUAAAGUAUAUGUAAAUCACUGGGACAAAGCGUCCAGCACAGUACAAAAACCAGAUUGAGCAAUACCUGCAGCUGCACGCUACUUUUAAAAGCUCAGAAUUCACAGGAACGCGAGGAAGUCGAGAGCAACUUCACUGUGGGCGACAGGGACUGUGAUCAUCGGAGCAUGUCUCCAGUUCCUUUUUCACAUCCGGCAGUAGAGUGAUUAUUGUGUGGCUGCGUAACCUGGCUGUAUCGACUCGCUGUUCGCCGUUCGGUUAACUGAAUGGGGGGUUAUUCUCAGAUGAAAACCCUCUCCUGUCUUAUUCUGUUUUUGCCUUUGUCCUUUGUCUCGUCUCCUGGCUCCGAUUACUGCUGCCAGGUUUGGGAGAGAGAACUCCUUAUUAACAUGCCUUUCAUAGAACGCAAACUCCACUGUAUCAGCGCUCCGCAAAUUACCGCCUGCUUUCAAGAGUUCCUAAAAUCUAUACGCAAAGAGAAGAGUUGCAAUUAAGCCAUUCUUUAGAAAAUGAGAUUGAAUACUUAACCUCAUUUACUUCUCUAUGCUAUUUUAGUGCUUUGUCCCAGGUAUACGUAAGCAUGGAAAGACUCAACUACUAUACUAAAAGGAAUAAUAGAGAUUUUGUCCCAUUGUCACCAAUUAGAAAAUCCAACACACAUACCAGAACCUUGGAGUGACUGCUUUUAAGCAUGAAAAGCAAUUUGUUAGUAAAUCUGGUCCCUGGUUCUCUUUUUAAAGAAGAGUUUCAGUUUUGAGCUGUUUUUUACAUUACUCAAUGAAUUUAUUUGAUUAUAAUAAUAUACUGUGAUAUACUCCACAAUGGAACUAAGUACUUCAAGUAAAAAUACAUCAUGUUUAAGUUUGCUUCCUGCAAACUCAUGAACUCAUUCUUGAACUUAACAAAACAAGAAAUUUGACUAGGCGUGCCCAAACUUUUGCAUAGUACUGUACUGCAUGCAUGCAAGAAUCUAUCGCUAUUUGCCUGCCUUAAGGGGGAUUACAACAUUUUUUAUACAGAAAUACAUACCGAAUAUAACAUUUCUGAUGGAAUUCCCCUUUGACUCAUCGACAAAACAAUUCUGUGGGUCUGGGAUACCGUGCCUUACAGCAGUAUAUGACUUAUAGAAAUAGAUUCAGUUGUGGAUGAAUAAAGCCCUGGACAAAAAAAUAUUGAGGAACGGCAGCAAGAUUGACAUCUUGGUUCUGUAUGGGCACAAUAUAUCAAUAUCAAGUCUAAAAAAAAAAGAUUGUCAUGACAUGAAUUUAUUUUAAUGGGCCUCGCUCCGUAAUAAAAGAUGCAUAGGAAAUAUGCCAGCAGCACCAUAACUCAACCCUGCAGCCAGCGCGAGUUUCUGUCAUUACGGAUAAAGGGAACUCUCGCCCUUAAAACCCGAACAUUUCCCCGCUUUCGGCUCCCCUGUCACCGCCCAAUUUGCAUUUGAAAGGCAUUACUGUGCGGGAACGAUUUGCAUUUUUUUGGAUCACUUAUAUCAAAGCUUCUCAAAGGCUCCUGGAUUGAAUCGCUGGCCCUUCAUAGGACAUGUGCUGGAAACUACAGAGGCAGGGUGCCAGGAAGGUGAUGGAAGCACUGCUUUUCAAAGCAUCUAAAAUCUGGAAUGAAUUCAGCAAU